CUCUGGAAUGCUCACAGCACUCUGCAGAAAAUCAGCUUGAUUCAGAGGAAGUGACUGCGCGACGAGCAUCUUUGGCUGUUGCAGCAUGACUUUCACGAGACACCAUUGGACCACAAAAGAAGACCUUUCAUGUCGCAGCACUCGGUGAGAGCGCGGCUAGUGAAUAGAGUGACCACGUAACCCAAGCGCCUCUCCUCUCUUCAUGUCUUCCAGCUCUCCUCCUGGAUUGGUUUACCUAUUGUAUCUCAGCCAGAUAAUAUUGUUUGUCGCCGAGCCGCUGGGUAACACAAGCCCGCCGGGGCAGAGAGGAGAAAGGCUCCUGAGGAGAUGAAUGGAGACCCAGAGAGAGGAGGAGGAGGAGGAGGGAGUGAGAUGGGCCAAGGAGUCCCAGAAAACAGGCCCUCAGUCUGGGUCAGCAGACGGGAAACCCACACACCUGGGACAGAGAGCCACAAAACAGCCCUCUGCCUGCUCUCUCUGCCUGGAUGCUUUGUUUAGUAUCUUCCUUUUUUGUUCCAUGUCAAAUGGUUUUGUAAUGACAUACAACAUACAAGUGAGUAAAU